CAAGAAGUGAUGAUGAGGACACGAUCAAUUUUUUACGAUUCUCAGAGAGGGAAGCCUUUGGCUGUGAGCUUCCUAAUACGGAAAGAUAGAUUACCACCUCUGAACUGCAGCAGUGAAAGAGCAACAAGUAAUUGCUUGCCGGCAAACACCGUUAUCUAGACUUGAGAAAUUGGUGAAGUGUGUUUUAUUUUAUCAAUUAAACAAGGGUGGAACCACGAAUAUAACACUCGUCCCUUUU
rnacentral:ncRNA from 1 species